rnacentral:tRNA from 1 species
GGCCUGGUCGCCAAGUGGUAAGGCAGAGCUCUGCAAAAGCUCCACCGCCGGUUCGAUUCCGGCCCGCGCCU